rnacentral:rRNA from 1 species
UACGUAGGGGGCAAGCGUUGUCCGGAAUCAUUGGGCGUAAAGCGCGUGUAGGCGGCCCGAUAAGUCCGCUGUGAAAGUCCAGGGCUCAACCCUGGGAUGCCGGUGGAUACUGUCGGGCUCGAGUCCGGAAGAGGAGUGUGGAAUUCCGUGGUGUAGCGGUGAAAUGCGCAGAUAUCAGGAGGAACACCGGUGGCGAAGGCGGGUCUCUGGGCCGAAAUUGACGCUGAGGAGCGAAAGCGUGGGGAGCGAACAGG